AUUGAACGCUGGCGGCAUGCUUUACACAUGCAAGUCGAACGGUAACAGGCCGCAAGGUGCUGACGAGUGGCGAACGGGUGAGUAAUGCAUCGGAACGUGCCCAGCCGUGGGGGAUAACUACUCGAAAGAGUAGCUAAUACCGCAUACGAUCUAUGGAUGAAAGCGGGGGACCGUAAGGCCUCGCGCGAUUGGAGCGGCCGAUGUCAGAUUAGGUAGUUGGUGGGGUAAAGGCUCACCAAGCCAACGAUCUGUAGCUGGUCUGAGAGGACGACCAACCACACUGGGACUGAGACACGGCCCAGACUCCUACGGGAGGCAGCAGUGGGGAAUUUUGGACAAUGGGCGCAAGCCUGAUCCAGCAAUGCCGCGUGCAGGAAGAAGGCCUUCGGGUUGUAAACUGCUUUUGUACGGAACGAAACGGCUCUGGUUAAUACCCGGGGCUAAUGACGGUACCGUAAGAAUAAGCACCGGCUAACUACGUG
rnacentral:rRNA from 1 species